rnacentral:rRNA from 1 species
AGGACGAACGCUGGCGGCGUGCUUAACACAUGCAAGUCGAACGAGCUCCAACCAGUGGCAACACUGGGGAAGAGCGAGUGGCGAACGGGUGAGUAACACGUGAGCAACCUGCCUCGAAGACCGGGAUAACAGCGGGAAACCGCUGCUAAUACCGGAUACCCCCAUCGGGUCGCAUGGCCUGAUGAGGAAAUGAAUUUCGCUUCGAGAGGGGCUCGCGGGCUAUCAGCUUGUUGGUGGGGUAACGGCCUACCAAGGCGACGACGGCUAGCUGGUCUGAGAGGACGACCAGCCACACUGGGACUGAGACACGGCCCAGACUCCUACGGGAGGCAGCAGUGGGGAAUCUUGCGCAAUGGGCGAAAGCCUGACGCAGCAACGCCGCGUGCGGGAUGAAUGCCUUCGGGUUGUAAACCGCUUUCAGCAGGGACGAAAUUGACGGUACCUGCAGAAGAAGCCCCGGCCAACUACGUGCCAGCAGCUGCGGUAAUACGUAGGGGGCGAGCGUUGUCCGGAUUCAUUGGGCGUAAAGCGCUUUAAGGCGGUUCGGUAAGUCGCGUGUGAAACCUCCAGGCUCAACCUGGAGACGCCACGCGAUACUGCCGUGACUAGAGUCCGGUAGGGGACCACGGAAUUCCUGGUGUAGCGGUGAAAUGCGCAGAUAUCAGGAGGAACACCAGUGGCGAAGGCGGUGGUCUGGGCCGGUACUGACGCUGUAGAGCGAAAGCGUGGGGAGCGAACAGGAUUAGAUACCCUGGUAGUCCACGCCGUAAACGUUGGGCACUAGGUGUGGGGGGUUAUCAACGCCUUCCGUGCCGUAGCUAACGCAUUAAGUGCCCCGCCUGGGGAGUACGGCCGCA